rnacentral:rRNA from 1 species
ACCUCUUUUAGCAGGGACGAAGCGUAAGUGACGGUACCUGCAGAAGAAGCACCGGCCAACUACGUGCCAGCAGCCGCGGUAAGACGUAGGGUGCGAGCGUUGUCCGGAUUUAUUGGGCGUAAAGAGCUCGUAGGCGGCUUGUCGCGUCGACCGUGAAAACUUGGGGCUCAACCCCAAGCCUGCGGUCGAUACGGGCAGGCUAGAGUUCGGUAGGGGAGACUGGAAAUCCUGGUGUAGCGGUGAAAUGCGCAGAUAUCAGGAGGAACACCGGUGGCGAAGGCGGGUCUCUGGGCCGAUACUGACGCUGAGGAGCGAAAGCGUGGGGAGCGAACAGGAUUAGAUACCCUGGUAGUCCACGCUGUAAACGUUGGGCGCUAGGUGUGGGGGGCCUCUCCGGUUCUCUGUGCCGCAGCUAACGCAUUAAGCGCCCCGCCUGGGGAGUACGGCCGCAAGGCUAAAACUCAUAGGAAUUGACGGGGGCCCGCACAAGCGGCGGAGCAUGCGGAUUAAUUCGAUGCAACGCGAAGAACCCUAUCUGGGUUUGACAUGGCUGCAAAACUUGCAGAGAUGUAAGGUCCUUCGGGGGC